UUUUUUUUUCUCUCUCCCUCUCUACCGGCUGCCAUGCUGGGGAACUCUAGUGACCCACUAGGCGGGGGUCGGGUUUUGCAACCCUUAGCAGCUUGGUCGUAUUGUUUUGUUUUUAUCGACUGUUCUGUUGGGUGAAGAACUCUAAGAACUUGCCGACUUUACUUUCUACCUGACCUAAAAUCAUAUUUUGCUUUCAAACAAUCUUAUACAAAUGUGUAUGGCCAAAAGAGGGAUUUAAAAUUAAUAUAAAAAAGGCAUUAGAAUAUGGCAAAAAAGGGAUUAAAUUGAGAUAAAAAAGAGAACCGCACAUAUUAUUAUGUACACAAUUCACAAUAUUCAGAAAAUGAACCAAGUGUUCUACUCAUUUCUAAGCUAUCAACAUAUGCAUUUUCAACAUGUGUAACAUAUUCAAAUAACAAAUACAAUCACAAAUCCGAGCUCCGUUCUCAUGCGUUAGGCAUACAUGCUUUUUUAUGCUAAAAAGCGAAGUAGACAUGGUACUUAUUCUAAGCAUAGAGCAUUACAAAAGUUUCUAAAUUUUGACAUUUUUAGCAAAAUUUGCAAAAUGAAAAUUUCCCAAAGGACAUGGAAUGUGCAAGGCUACAACCCCACCCCCCACUUAAAAAUAUGCAUUGUCCUCAAAGCAUUUUAAGCAAGAUUCUACGGAUGGAAAAAAA
rnacentral:lncRNA from 1 species